GAAGAAGAAGAAGAAGAAGAAAAUCUUGGAACCAACACCAUCAUAUUCAUCCUCAUCUCAUCUUCAACAACUUCUCCUCUUCCAUUUUUGAGGUGGGUUCUAGUCAGAAGCCCUAGAUUUCUAGAAGAUUAGGGUUGUAGAAUCAUAGAUAAAUCAUGAAAAUCCAUGUUAUACGAUGAAUAUUUUUCUUGCUCUAGUUGAUUUCCAUGAACAUGUGCUUUGAUGUGUUCUUAUGAUUGUUG
rnacentral:lncRNA from 1 species